CAAAUACUCCCUCCGUCCGGAAAUACUUGUCCUCAAAAUGGAUAAAAGGAAAUGUAUCUAGACGUAUUUUAGUUUUAAAUACAUCUCUUUUUAUCCAUUUUGAUGACAAGUAUUUUCGGACGGAGGGAGUAGAAA
rnacentral:pre_miRNA from 1 species